rnacentral:lncRNA from 1 species
CUAAACUCCAUUCUUCGCAUAGUCAGCUUCAAUCAACUAACAAUCAACUAAGUUCUUUGCAUAUCAUCCAAAAGAGACUUCAUUGCAUCGCCAACAUUAAAAGAUCUUUGCAUAGCCAUAUCAAAAAAAAAACCUUUGCACACUCCCAAAAGCCUUUAGCCGCCGAGGUCACUUCAUGCUUCAACAAAUGUAUUCAUGUUUACUUUCUUUAUGUGAUUUACUCUAAUUUUCAUAAUAGAUUUAAUUUUUUAUUAGUAGAUGGAGGAGUGGGGGAUCUUUUUUUCAUUUUCUUCACAAUUGAUGCGGCUAGUUCAUGAUGGUGGAUGUUUAUUGAUGAUGUUGAAUUUGUUAUAUGAAUAUGUGCUCGUAUAUAUACAUGUAUGUAUAGGCUCUAAUAUAUUUUUAUUUGUCUAUAUUUAAUUUUAAAGUUUUUUAAUUUUUAUUUGGUUUAGGAUCGUGUGUAUGUCUUUUCAUGUCUACUAAACUUGUUUUUAGUUAUUUAUUCAAGCAUUAUUUAACAGUAAAUAGUUGUAUUAGGUUUAUUUUCUAAAUAAAAUACAAAGUUAUGUUUUUUUAAACUGUAAUUGUUUGUUUUGGUUGCAAUAGUUAGCAUACCUAUGAAUUUUGUUUUAGACAUUCCUCCCAGGUGUUUGCUUUGUCCACAAUAGUUUGAUGAAAGGUAUUUUUAUUAUUUUAAACGUUUUGGAUAAAUAUUCUGAAUAGUAUUAAGACUUUUUCUUAAAUGUUUGAUAAAAUUAUUUUCUUUUUCUUUGUAUAGGGCUGCUGAUAAAAUGGAGUAUUAGUGUCACACACUAAUUACGGAAGUUAAGUGGAAGGGAUUAUCCAUUGGACGUUUUUGUUAACUCAUGUGGUGUAGAAUAGCAUCUUAGUCUCAUAGCUUCUCAUUCUGAAGGUAGAGGACGGAAAUAAUAAUACUUACCUAAAAGAUUAAUGAAUGAGUUGACUAAUAACAAAUUUGAUUUCCGCUGAUACGACUUGCUACUUUAUCUCACUUUUUAUGUUUAUAGAGCAAUUUAUCUCUUAACUUUGUUGAUGAGAUUAAUCUUUGUUGGAAGUGAGAUUUAUUUCAAAAAAAAAUUAUAACUAUGCAUUCCCAGUUACAAGCAUGAGUUUUAGCCAUCAUUAGAUCCUCUCAUCUCAUCUCGGAUACACGGGAGACUUGAACUAACUCAAAAAAUAACAAAAUUUUUGUGAGAUUCGAUUUUAUAACUCGAUAUCUUCACUUGUUAUUAGUACUUAUAUAGUUAGGGAUUUUAUUCUUUUGUAUUGAAAUUCAAUAUCCAUUCUAACUACUAUCCUCUUCUUAGGUGGUCGGUGGCAGCUAACGAAGAACAAAAAGAAAACCUGGAGUUAAAGGAGAAGAGAAAGAGUCAUAUUUAAAUAAUAAACUUGAGAAGGUAGCUACUAAUUAUUAUUAUAAUUUUAACUUUGUUAUUUCUUCUUUCAAAAUUUAAUUUUAUUUGGAUAUUUUUUCUAGCUUCAGAAACAGUAGACUAAAAUUCACAACACCAUUCAUGCUCUGUAGAAAGCCGAGGUUUGCUAAAAGCUCUUGCUUUAUUUUACAAAAUUUCGGCUCUUGUUAGAUAAUUUUGACAACUAGAAUGUAUAUUCAAGAAUAAAUGAGUCCAAUUAAAAGCUGCAAUCUGCUUAAAACAACUGCCAAAUGUAUAUGAAGUUGAAUGCGAUCAAUAGUAGCGUACUUUUAUUGAUUUAGUUACUGUUACUGUCAGG